rnacentral:rRNA from 1 species
AUGGCCAUGGCUAUGUGGAGAAAGAAGGAGACGGCCGGAGCCAGCGGCGCCGCCCCGGCAUGCGUUGUUCGCUCCGCCGGCGAGGGCGGCGGGAAGAUCCCGAAGGGCUACGUCCCGAUGGUGCUCGUCGGCGACGCGGGAGAAAGGGAGGAAAGGGUGCUGGUUCACGUCGGGAUGCUCACGGAGCCGCGCGUCCUGGCUCUGCUGGAGAUGUCCGCGCAGCGGUUCGGGUACGGCCAGCCGGGCGUCCUGAGGAUCCCAUGCGGCGUGGAGCGGUUCGAGCAGACGGUCCGUGGCCACCGGCGGGAGAUGCAGGAUUCUGCGUGCGCAGCAGCACACUAG